GACGAACGCUGGCGGCGUGCUUAACACAUGCAAGUCGAGCGGUAAGGCCCUUUCGGGGGUACACGAGCGGCGAACGGGUGAGUAACACGUGGGUGACCUGCCCUCAGCUCUGGGAUAAGCCUGGGAAACUGGGUCUAAUACUGGAUAUGACUCCACGGUGCAUGUCGUGGGGUGGAAAGCCUUGUGCGGCUGAGGAUGGGCCCGCGGCCUAUCAGCUUGUUGGUGGGGGAUGGCCUACCAAGGCGACGACGGGUAGCCGGCCUGAGAGGGCGACCGGCCACACUGGGACUGAGACACGGCCCAGACUCCUACGGGAGGCAGCAGUGGGGAAUCUUGCGCAAUGGGCGAAAGCCUGACGCAGCGACGCCGCGUGAGGGAUGACGGCCUGGUGUAAC
rnacentral:rRNA from 1 species